rnacentral:rRNA from 1 species
UACAGAGGGUGCGAGCGUUGUCCGGAAUUACUGGGCGUAAAGGGCGCGUAGGCGGCCUGUUAAGUCGAACGUGAAAUCCCCGGGCUCAACCCGGGAACUGCGUCCGAUACUGGCAGGCUUGAAUCCGGGAGAGGGAUGCGGAAUUCCAGGUGUAGCGGUGAAAUGCGUAGAUAUCAGGAGGAACACCAAUGGCGAAGGCAGCACUCUGGGACGUGACUGACGCUGAGACGCGAAAGCCAGGGGAGCAAACGGG